rnacentral:lncRNA from 1 species
CAGAAAGUUCCAUCUGAGGAGCCACCGGAAGUUCUGUCUGCUGCACCUUGGCACAAAGCCCAAAGAUCAGACUUCAACAAGCCGGUACCCUCUGCCUCAAACCUCUCUGAGUUCCUGGAAAGAUGAAUAAGAACCUGCCAAGCAAUGCGUCAUCCUGUAGAUGCACAAGAACACAGGGGACUGCUGUACUCAGGGGCCGGUGGAGAGUCCCAGGGUGAACUGGCUGCCCCCACUCAGUUCCAGACAGCACUCGGGUGAUAUCUUCAACAUCAGGAUGACACUUUUUCUCUUAAAUGACAUCAGGGAGUUGUAAGGGAGCAGCAAGUGAGUAAUACUUGAAGCCUCUAUAAAAAGAACGUGUAGGGAUUAUGAAAAAUGUAUAUUCUUUCCUGUGUAGAUUACUCCAGCCUAUUUUUGUAGGAGGUAUAGAGGCAGUGACUCUGUUGGGAAGAGCAUAGGCUUUAGAGCCAUGUAAACUCAAGUUCAAAUCCUAACUCUGUAAUUUCCUCAUAUAUAGUCGUGGGCAAAUCAUUUACCAUCUCUAAGCCUCAGUUUCCUAUCUGUGAAAUAAGGACAGUGAUCAUCUUGCAGUGGGGAUUAUUGUAACUGGAUUGGAAGCAAGGUAGAAAAGUCAGCUAGCACAAUGCCGGGUACACAGUAGGUAGUCAAUAAAUGGCAGUUGCAGCUUCUGUUGCCAUUUUAAAUAAAAAUAGUGGCAGUAAUGAAAGUAGUAAGAAAAAAUGGAAUGAUCUGGGAAGGUAUAUUCAGACACUUUCCCCAAUGCCAGAGAAGCAAGUUAAUAGAUUAUGCAGAAAGACCUACAAAAUGUGGUCAUCAGUGUGGGCUGGCCUUUCCUAACCCUCAUUCCUUUUUCUUUCUUUUCCACUGUGGGGACAAGAAAAGCUAAAUAGCCACUUUUCCAGCAAAAGAUUGCCAUAAGAUAUAGUUCUGGCCAAAAAGAUGUGGGCAAAGAGCUUCUUUCUUGAUAAAAACAUGGCUAGUGCAACUUUUACUUUCCUUCCUCCUGCCAUGAAUGGAGGCAUGAGGCAUGGAGCUAACAUGGCCACGUUGUACCCAUGAAGUCAUGAGCCAACGUGGUUAGGGUGUCAGAAGAGAACGAAAAAAGGCCUUAAGUUCUUACCAACAUCGUUGAGCUGUUGCAUCAGCCUUGAGCUGCCUACUUUCAGACUUUUGUGUUUUGUUUUGUUUUGUUUUUUGAGAUGGA